rnacentral:misc_RNA from 1 species
UGUAGGAGCGGGCUUGCUCGCGAUUGGAUCGCUGCGGGGCUACAGAUACACCGUGUCGCGACUAUCGCGGGCAAGCCCGCUCCCACA